CUCAAGCCUGCGAGCCAUCUUUGUUUCUGAAGAAUUAAGAAACUUGUCUAGUGACCUGUUAACCUCUGUUCAGUCUGUCUAAAGUUAACCUCUGCUGCAACCUCCAGGUCCUGCAAGCGGUCUAAUCUGGAAGCCAUCUCCAUUCCUCGAGGAACAUAACCCAUCAGACAAACCAAGCCCAGCAGUUACUCUGCAGUUCCUAUGUGCGCCAGCCUGCCCGCUCUCCGACAAUGCCCACGGACUUUCCGACCUGGACUCCCCAGAGUAAACCUCCCUGGAACAAACCCCCACAUCUAUGACCUCCCAGCCUUCCUCUCUGACCAGCAUCAGUUCCUGUUCCCAGCCCCGAUGGAUGGAGUCAAGUACAGUGUAAGACUUUUUCUUUCCAGGUGGACAACAGCCCUAAACAUUCAGCAACAAUAGAAUCUCUUGAAAGACUUG